AACGAACGCUUGCGGCAUGCCUAAUACAUACAAGUCGAACGAGAUUUUCGGAUCUAGUUGCGCACGGGUGCGUAACGCGUGGGAAUCUACCCUUGGGUUCGGAAUAACAGUUAGAAAUGACUGCUAAUACCGGAUGAUGACGUAAGUCCAAAGAUUUAUCGCCCAAGGAUGAGCCCGCGUAGGAUUAGCUAGUUGGUGGGGUAAAGGCCUACGAAGGCUACGAUCCUUAGCUGGUCUGAGAGGAUGAUCAGCCAGACUGGGCUGGAGAACCGGCCCAGACUCCUACGGGAGGCAGCAGUAGGGAAGAUUGGACAAUGGUGGAAACCCUGAUCCAGCAAUGCCGCGUGAGCGAUGAAGGCCUUAGGGUUGUAAAGCUCUUUUACCCGGGAUGAUAAUGACAGUACCGAGAGAAUAAGCCCCGGCUAACUCCGUGCCAGCCGCCGCCGUAA
rnacentral:rRNA from 1 species